CUGUACGCCGUACGUGAAUAUAUCGAUCUAUCUGUAUGAAUACAGUAUAUGUAUCUACAUAUACAUAUAUAGGUAUCAUAAAAACGUUAUGUCAUGUUUAUCACAUAUCAAAUCUCUUUUCAUUCACAGAUGUCGUCACCCACCUGUGUGACGUUCAUUUAACUCAGAGUGAUACAGGUAAAAAGAUUUCAUUAUUCGAGCAAUAAUGCGACCAACUUUUGAAGACGGUGGCGUACACGCGGAUCCGACUGCGGUGCUCCCUUCAAUAGAUACCAGUCUAGCCACGGAUGCUUUAUAGGAAUUAUUACCCAUCUGGGUGACGUUCAUUUAACGCAGAGUGAUACAGGUGAAAAUAGCCAAAUGCGGGAGCAGUACGGUGCGACAUGUUAGUUUUGUAGUGUGCAUUUUGUGUUUAGCAUUUUUAAAAAUGCUAAUUAAAAAAAAAAAAAAAAAAAAAAAAAAACUAUUCAAAACCAGGCAACAAGUGUAGAAAUAAUUGAAUGUUUUAACUCUUUAAAAGUUGCACCAAAGGAUAAAAACAAAUAUCAUAGUUUGUAUUGUCAGGAUGAAUCAACCAAUUAUGCAUGCAUUACGCAAUUACCUUCACCUUCACCUUCUUCUACCGCUUAUCGGGGUCGGGUUGUGGAGGCAGCAUUUGGGGCAGGGAAGCCCAAACUUCCCGGUCCGCACAAACCUCCUCCAGCUCCUCCCGGGGGAUCCCAGGCGUUCCCAGGCCAGACCGGAGAAUUAAUCUCUCCUUCAGAUCUUCAGAUAUUGUAUUUUCAUAUUUUUUUCACAA